rnacentral:misc_RNA from 1 species
UAGAAAAUGAAGAAGAAGCUCACCGAAUCAGAAGUAAUGGCUAGAUAACCGGAGGAGGAGCUUGCUGGCGGCAGUGGCACUGACGCUGAUGGUGUAGAUCCAGACCCACCGGAGCUGCUGCUAUUCGUACUCGCUGCGUUGAUUGCCGGGACUCCUAAGGGGUAAGCCUGAGAUCCGUCCGGCUUGAACAGGCCAUAGUUUCGCUCAGAACUAGGACCAGGCUUGAGGUUCUCAUUGAACAAGGCAAAUACGUAUAUGUUCAAAUCCGAGUUAGGCCUCAUGGGUGUACCCUUCUUCUGACCAAUAAGCUUCAUUAGAUUACAGUUGUAUUUCCUAGCAUUCUCCGGUGUAGCUCCGGCCUCGUCGGCGUCUCCCUUUGACGGCCAUCCCGUCUCCGAGAUCUGCACGCAGACGUUUUUGUAGCCGAUGGAAGCUAAAGCAGAGUGAACAGCAUCGAUCUGAGCGAAAAGCAUGUUGUCGUAGUGUAGAUUGGACUGUGGAUCGACGAUACCAGAGUUGGGCUGAAAUAGCACGAAAUCAAGGGAGACCUGCUUUGGAUUUCCCUUGUAAGCAAAGUAAGGAUAAGCAUUAAUAAGAAAAGGUGAGCCAGUUUUGCAAUGGAAGUCCACGAUCCGGGUAACACAGUUGACAAGAUCCCGACGGAAAGCUCCAGCCGAUGGGGGAUAGGAAGUUUGUAGAAUAGCAAGAGAAUGUGCG